rnacentral:rRNA from 1 species
GAGGAAUAUUGGGCAAUGGAGGCAACUCUGACCCAGCCAUGCCGCGUGCAGGAAGACUGCCCUAUGGGUUGUAAACUGCUUUUAUACAGGAAGAAACGUGCUUACGAGUAAGCAUUUGACGGUACUGUAAGAAUAAGGACCGGCUAACUCCGUGCCAGCAGCCGCGGUAAUACGGAGGGUCCGAGCGUUAUCCGGAAUCAUUGGGUUUAAAGGGUCCGCAGGCGGUCGAUUAAGUCAGAGGUGAAAUCCCAUAGCUUAACUAUGGAACUGCCUUUGAUACUGGUCGACUUGAGUAAUACGGAAGUAGAUAGAAUAUGUAGUGUAGCGGUGAAAUGCAUAGAUAUUACAUAGAAUACCGAUUGCGAAGGCAGUCUACUACGUAUUUACUGACGCUCAUGGACG